CGUAUGAAUCAGGAAGUCCAUCAAGUGGGCCCUAACAUGGAUGGUGCAUGGUUCAAAGCCCAUAACAAUCGGGCAAUCCUAGUCAUCAUAGUUCUGCACUUCUUCCCAUUGAAUUUUGAUCCUUGACUGAUUUUACUUUUACACUGUAGAUUUCGUAAGGUAACUUAUCAGAUAAGCUGGUAAUGCAUGUAUACUCCAUUUGCUCUUCUUAUUUUAUACUAUUCAUCAUGUGUCACCAUAUAAUGCAAUUUUAUUUGCAUUGUUGGCACCUUGAUAUAUCUUGAGCGGAAGGUAAGCAUUUAAAACCAUAGUGUAUUUCAUCAUGUGUACCAACCAUCAUCCCCUGCCAAACUACCAAAUAGCUCUUCUUCCUCUUUUUCUUCCCUUCCAAGCAAAGGAAGAUGAUAAAGCCAUCCACCUUCCAUCAUGGAGUUGCAGACCUGCCAUUUUGAACUCAACCAUCUGCUGUCAUCCCUUGGAGUUGCCGUAGAUCCAUCCUCCAUGGCCAAUUUGUGACUUGGACCAUGAAGAUUUGAUUUGAUUAAUAUCAUCGAAUCCAAGCAACUUGAACUGCAAAUUAGGUUGCUCGAACUAAUUCACAGUCUGGGCUCAAAUGCAACGAAUUGGGGUAACCAAGAUGAGUUAACACUAAGAUUGGCUUGAUUGGCUUUGUGCCUGGCCAAAUUGUGCAAGCAUAUGAAUUGCUGCGAUGAUAAAUCAAGAAGACCCCACGGUUGAUAAUUCGUAUGGCGAGAUUGUUAAAUGGUGAUGCUUCCUUUGUGUGCAUUUUCAAGAAAAUGUGCAUGAGUUAGAUUGUGUCAAAAGCAUGAUGGGAAGGUAGCCAAGUCAAGAUUGGAUUACAUGGGUGUGUGUUUACAAAGAGCCAUCACUCACAAUUCCUGAAACUUUGGGAAUUGUGCAGCAUGAUAUUUUGAACAACAGAAGGCAGAAGGCAGGUCUUGACUAAGGUGAGUACCAUAGGUUCACUUUCAUAUCCAUGAGUCCCGUGGGAUUUCAUUGCAGUACUCUUGCUGGUGUGAUCAGUAAGAGCAGUGGGGAUGAGGAUAAAUGCCUUGAAGAUCAACUACGUGAUGCCAAGGCUGCUGCUGGGAAAGUUGAGAUGAUUGAAACAAUUGGAAAAAAAAA